AGGAGUGCGCUUUGGCGAUGUAGGUUUGUGUAGAUGCCCUGUCUGCUGAUUCAGGGAUGCUGCAGUUCUUACCCUGUUCCCCUCCACACAGCUUCCUGCCGUAAUGCAGCUUGACAUUAGGUCCUUGGCAAGUCCCCCUGUGAAGCAGAUGGCUUGUUUCUGACAUAGCAUCCUGGCUGUUCAUGCCACCUCUUCUGUGUUUGCUGUGCGUUUAUCGUGUGUCAGACACUGUGCUGGAGGCUUCCUAUGCAUGGUAUCAGUUAAUGCUCCCUGUGCUCCCAGCUAAGGAUCAGUGUAGCACCCUGUUUAGGUCUGCAGUAUUUCAGGCCAAGCAGGCCGGAUUUGUACAGUGGCUUUCCAACUUCCAAACUGUAUGACCCGAGGCAAGUUUUAUAACCUAAGCUUCCACGUCCUGACCUAUAAGAUGGGGCUUCAAGCAUGGAAACAGUAGCAAUGUGUAUUGCAGGCAGUUCUUGUGAGUAUUAAGUAAUUUAAUACAGGAAACUGCACAGAAUAUCCUCAGCUACCUAGUAGGCACGCGAUGAAUGUUUUUAGCUACAGUGGUUUGUAUAAAAGGAUAUCAAAGCUUGGUAAGGGUGAGCAGCUUUUCUGGAGUCUCCAGCUAUACCUUGUAUGGUAGGAUUCCAAGCCAGAUGCCUUGGUGGAUGGUCUCACUUGUAUCUCACUCAACUGCAACACUUCCUUCCCAGCAAGCUGUUGAGCUCCUUGAAAGUACAGGGUAUGUGUCCUCUCUGUCCUCCAGCUGCCUAAGUGCUCUGCCUGCUGGAAACACCCCAGUAACGGUGAAUCCAUAGCAGUCAUUUAGCUUAGCUCAGAUUUUCCAAAUGUGUGCUGAAGUCUUUUUGCAAAAGCAAAACAAACUCGUAAAAACAACACACGAUAAAGCAAGAAGUAAUCAAAACCCAGGCUAUCCUUUUAGUUGGGGGAAUUCCGGAGCGAGGAAACUGGGCAAUUUGCCUAGGAACCAAAAAACGAGUCACAGUGCAGCUGGAAACAGUUUCAGUGUUGAGGGUCAGGAUUGCUUACUCCACGCUGUCCUGAUUUCAGGGACAGGAUGAAAGGACGUGAUGUGCCUGUGCCUGUGACAAUGGGCUAUUUUUCCUCAGCCAAGGUCCACCGUGAGUAGUCUCCUUGGAGGAAGGAUGAGGGCUGGGCCUGUUUGUCCUGCCUUUCCUGGUCUCAGAAGUGGGGAAGACAUGGACAGGCUGCUCUCAGAGGUUGGGGGAGGUGAGGACAUUGGAGCGGGGGUAGCACAAACAUUUUUUGUUGAAGUUGGCCAGAAGGGACCCAAAAUACUAACUUCUGAUUUGAACUACCAUUUCCCAUUGUUUGAGGUGGUUUUAUGAGGUUGAAUUCUGGUAAUAACAUCAAUUCAACGAAAAUGUAGAUUUUUAGCUAGAGAAUUAUAGAAAAAACGUUUGGCAAACUAAACAUUUAAAAUAUAUUUUUCUAAUACUAAAAUUCACAUAUUUCUAUGAAAUGAUCAAAAUAACAUUUCUUAUAGAUAUCUAUUUAACAUAAAAAUAAUUUGAUUUAAGCAAAUUAGAUUUGAAUCAUAAAUAUGCAUAUGUAUGUAGCGAGUUCAUUUGCACAAAGCAAAAUGAGAAUUUUUACUUUUGGCUUUACAGGUUGUUUUCUUAAUCUUCAAAAUUGUUAUACAGACUCACUUAUUACUUAUAACUUGGUAAGAGAGAAGUGCAUAGUAAGAACUGAAGGGGUUUUGAACUCAGUGUCUUUUCAUGUGGCUUUAUUUUGGGAAUACUCUUUGGCAGAUACCCAAAGUUUUAUUGUUUCUGCACCUGUGAUUUCUAAAAUAAUUCAUAGGUCAAGAAUCUGCAAACAAUAAACCUAUAACAAUAGCUGCCUCCCAGAUGUAGAUCAGAUUUAGAAAGUGUACACAGCCAUUAAAGUGUAAUGGUUGAGUUUUGAUGAAGAAUUUACUCUGUUCCUGUCUAUGAACUUACCGACAUAUCUGACAUGUCCACACUGCUUGGAGCUUCUAGGCUGUGACAUUCAUUUUAACCUUUUAGUGUCGAGUUUUCUUUGAGAAUUUGAUGAAGUUUGAGUAAACACCUGAAGCCCAUCAGUGAACCAAUCCCUGACUCCUGCCCUCCUUCAGGGCUUCUAUGAAUUAAGAACCCCUAAAUUAGGGGAGGACCAGAGGACACAUUAUUUUAUCAGCCCUCUAUGUCUAUGGAUUCUGGAUCCCUGGAGCCUGUUGACUGUGGAUCAAAAAUAUUUGAAAAAACUACAAUGGUUCUUAACAUUGUUUCUUAGACAAUUCAGAAUGGCAGCUAUUUACCUGGCAUUUACACUGUAUCAUGUAUUAUAAAUAAGCUAGGCAUGGCGGUGUAUGUGUGUGCAGGUUACUGUGCUUUGUUAAUGUAGGGACUUGAGCAUGGUCAGGUGAGUACCCUUGGGGUUCUGUGCUGACUUCCGUGUGCAUGCAGAUGGAUGACUGCCACCAGUCCUCAGACACUGAACUUCUUACAGCCAGCACAAGUCCCUGCGUGACAGGAGUCUCAGAGACAAAACAUGCUCAGGUUGUCAGAAGGUGGCAGGACUCCCUCAGAGUCCUCAAGGGCCCCAGGUAGGAAGUUUGGGUGCAGAGAUUUGUAGGUAAAGCAGACUAUCUGUAGCAAUAUUGCGGUGGGGGUACCUGGCCUGUGGGACCCUCUUUUUUACUUACCCAAUAUAGCGGUUUGCUAGGACUCCCACAACAAACUACCGCACACUGUGUAGUUCAAACUAGAGCUCUGGAUGUGGAACUCCAAGGUUAGGCUUCUCUGAGGUCCCUCUUGCUCCUCCUCACUGUGUCCUUGCAUGGUCUUUCUCCCGUGCAUGACUCUUGUGUCUUUGUUGAAUUAGACUUCAACAUUAUGAUCUCAUUUAAUUUUAAUUUUUCUCUUUAAAGCCUCUGUCUCCAAAGAGUCACACUGGGGAUUAAAGCUUCAGUGUAUGAAUUUUCUUGGGGGAAUUCAGUGCAUAUUAUCUCAUUGUGUCUUUAAACCCCUGAUGUUUAAUUCUUGCUUCGGAAGCUGAUACUCAGGGUCUAAUUCUAGAUUAGGUACUCACCUCUGCCUGUAUAGUCUUCCCUGACCGCCAGCACUGUAUCCUGGAACCGAGUCAUCUUUGGUUUCUCUGUCCAGUCUUGGUUAUCAACCCCUAGGUCAAUUUCUGAUUAUGGGCUUUUGUGGGACUUUGCCGUAGCCAUUCUGUGCCAGCCCAGUCCACACUUUCUAUUAGGUCUUGGGCUGAAGCUUGUCAUGCAGGAGGCAUUAAAUAAGCAAGAGAGGAUCAAAAUAUGCACAGUGUUUUGUUAAAUAGAAUGUGACUAAUGAAAUUAGCCUCUUCCCCUAAUAAUAUUCUUUGAAGCAAAAGAAAUAAAAAUAAAACAGUAAAGACAGGUUAGGACUAGGUGCAUUUUAUAUGUUAGAUUAAACAGGUUAACCUUUGUACGUUAGGUGGAGAGAAUUCUAGAGAGCUUUUCUGUUGAUGGCUAGGAAGUGUAGGAAGUAUCAGGGUAGGUUAUGCUGCAAUAACAGUGAGCCCCAAAAUACCAGAGACUUACCACAAUAAAGGUUUUCAUUACUGUUGCUCUUUUGUUUUACUCAUUGUUCGUCUUCACUGCAAUCUUGUUACACACUUUCACUCCAGGAUCCAGGCUGACAGAGCAGUUCCUUUGAUAGAAGAAAAAGAUAUGGAAGAUCAUGUUUGGUUCUUAGAUCUGUGUGGGUGAGAUCUACGUCACCUCCACCCGCAUUUCAUCAGUGAGAGAGCUUCACAGGUGCACUGGCUGCUGGGGAGCCGGAGGUGUGACCUUUCUGCACAGCUCAGGACCCACAGGUGAGAGAAGCAGAAGACAGGUGUUAACCAGGAAUGGGAGUGUGGAAGACCCUUUUGAAAAAGUAUUAGGAAAAGGACUAAAAGGAGACAGAACAAGUAGAAGCAAAAUUUUACAAAAGAAGGGAGAGAAGAAAUAAAGGGGAAAAGGUAGAGGACCAUAAGAAAAGAAAUGUGCUCUAUAAAAAAUACAAGUAAACAUUGGAGGGAAAUGUGACAAUAGAAAUGUAAGAAGUUAACAUAUAAAACAUGUAAGGAGCUCUAACAACUUGACAGGAAGACAAAAUGACUUGGUUUUAAAAAAAUGGUCAAAAGAUUUCAAGGAAGCCUGCCAGUGACCAGAGUGCUUGGCUUCACUGACCAUUAAAGAAAUGCAGAUGAAAACCACAGUGAUCUCUCACCCCAGGCAGGAUGGAUCUUACCAAUAAGCCAAAAUGUAAGGGGGCUGGGGACUUAGCUCAGCGGCAUAAGCGCCUGCCUUGCAAGCAGGCAGUCAUGAGUUCGAUCCCUGGUACCGAUAAAAACGAAAAAGACAAAAAAAAAAAAAAAAAAAAAAAAAAAAGACAAAAUGUAGCACAUGAGGAUGUGGGAAAGAGAAACACAUUGCUGAUAGGAAUGUGAAUUAAUACACAUGUUCUAGAAAACAGGAAGUUCCUCCAAAGAAUUACCAUGUGAUCCAGCAUGUUGGAAAGUCACCUGCACAUCCAUGUUUACUGUAGCGCUACCCACAAUAGUUAAAAUAUGGAAUCAGCCUAAAUAUUCAUUGUGUUAGUCAGCUCUCCUGGUGCUGGGCAACAAUAACUGAGAUCCACAGUAAGAUGGAGAGAGGUUUUAUCUGGCUCAUGGUUUCAGUUGAGAUUUAGCCUGUGGUCAGCUUGCUCCAAGGCAGAAACAUCACGGCAGAAGAGCCAAGCUGCUUAGUUCAUGACAGCUGUGAAGUGGAGCAGGGAAUCAGCAGAGACAUGGGCCAGGGCCUGUACACAGUACCUGAGGCCACGCCUCCACGACCCACCAGACUCAUCCAGAGGUUGUGCCUUCACCAAAACCUAGGAGACUCCCAGGCCAAUCAAAUUGACACAACCAAGAUAAUCUUCACAUCCAUCCAUGGGUGAAUAGAUGGAGGAAAUGUAGCACACACAUACAUGUGCACACACACACACAUGCACACAUACACACACACGCAUGCGUGCACACACAAAUUCUUUACAGCUGAAAAAAAGGAAAGAAAUUGUGCCAUUUGCUACAACAUGAAUGAAGCUGGAGGACAUUGUUAAGUGAUUAUAAUAAACCCAAUAGAAGAACAAAUUCCACAAGAUUGGCUGCAGCCGCCCCAGGAGAAGAACCACCAGCGACUCCUGAGUUGCACGCCAUGUUGGAACUUGGGAUGCUGGGAAACCAAGCAACCAGUUCACCUCCCUGGUAAGUGGCUGUGGUGUGGCAGGCUGCGGCCACCCCAACGGGAGAACCACCACUGUCUCCUGAGAUCUGCACCAUGUUGGAACUUAGGGGAAUGGGAAACCAAGCAACCAGCCUGCCUCCCUGCUAAGCAAUAGUGAGCCUACCAGGGCACGGACUGAGAGUCAAACAUCCUACUUCUCCUGCCCCUCAUUAGCAAAUGGGAACUAGAGAUCUGAGCAUCUCUUGGGAGGUUGACCCUAUGCAAAAUAGCAAGUAAGGGGGGUUUCCUUCUACCAUUUCUUUGAAGGCAAAUAUUUUUACUACUGUUUUGCAUUAUUCUGAUUGAUGGUAGUGUUCUAUUCAAUAUUCUGUUUUGAUAAAUUCUAUAAUGUUCUGUACUUCAUUUUAUUUUGCUGUACGUGAUUGAAAGGACAACUAUUGUGAAGAUAACGAGAUACACUGUGAUACCUAUUACUGUUAUCCUGGUAACCUGCUGUGAUGUUCUGUACCAAUUUCACUACACUGUCUCAAUUAGCUUUGUUCUGUCUUAUUCUGUUGUAUUUUACUACCUUCAAACUAAUAAAAAAAAGAAGAAAAAUUCCACAA